rnacentral:rRNA from 1 species
AGUGAACGCUGGCGGCGUGCUUAACACAUGCAAGUCGAACGAGAACGGGUUAUAGCUUGCUAUAAUUGUCAGCUAAGUGGCGCACGGGUGAGUAAUGUAUAGGUAAUAUGCUUCUUACUAAGGGAUAACAAAUGGAAACGUUUGCUAAUACCUUAUACUCCUUAUUAACAUAAGUUCAUAAUGGAAAGAUUAAUUGGUAAGCGAUUAGCCUGUAUUGUAUCAGUUAGUUGGGGGGGUAAUGACUACCAAGACUAUGACACAUAACUGGUUUGAGAGGAUGACCAGCCACACUGGAACUGAGACACGGUCCAGACUCCUACGGGAGGCAGCAGUGGGGAAUAUUGCACAAUGGACGAACGUCUGAUGCAGCAACGCCGCGUGGAGGAUGACACAUUUCGGUGCGUAAACUCCUUUUAUAUGAGAAGAUAAUGACGGUAUUAUAUGAAUAAGCACCGGCUAACUCCGUGCCAGCAGCCGCCGUAA